UUGGGGGUCCCGGGCGCCCCCCCGAGAGAGUGGGGGAGGGGACGUCCUCGCUAAUUGGGUGACUGCAGGUCCCCCCCACCCCCGGGCUGGCCCCGCGGCCACCGCGACGCCUGGCCUCCCUGACGUCACCCGGUUCGCCAGGAAAUGAAUUUUUUUAAUAAUCCGAGCAGAACAGGGAGGAAAAGGCCUCCGUGCCCCUCUGUCUCCUCCCGGGGAGACGGGGGAGGGGGGUGUGACGCGGUGACACCCGCGCGACCCCCGGGACCCCCGUCCCAAAGUGUCACCUCCCGUCUCCCGAGAGAGAGAGAGAGAGGGGCCAGCGAGCGCUCAAAAGGCAUCAAACAGCGGCGGCCUCCUUUUUCAGCCUCCUCCGGGAGUGGAGGCUUGAGGGCGCGCGCAGGUAAAGCGAGGGGGGCCUGGUUUUUGGGGGGACGCUUGGGGACCCUCCUGUCUGCUCGCGACACUAACGGGGGGGCCUCACCGGGGAACCCCCCCCACCACCUCCUCUCCGCCAUCCCGGAGGUCCUCGGGCCUCUACCCCGCGGGAGAAGAGGCUGCCGGAGGUUCACUGGGCUGGGGGUGACAAGAGGAGGGCCACCAGGCCUCCGCGGGUCACCUCCCCGCAGAAUCGCGCGCGCCCCGAUGUCCCUUGCGCUCCCCGUUGUCUCUCCGCAACUUCCCCACCUUUAGCGUCCGAUUCUUGUGCCGCGCGCGCAAAUUCCUGACGUCUCCCGGCUGUGUGUUUUGGAGUCUCCUGUUUUUCGGGGCCUCUCCCGAAGCCACCGCAGCGCGGCUCGGGGACAAGGACAGGACCGGGCCCCCGCCGCUGGAGCGCGGACGCCCGGGUGACCCGGACGCGGGGAGGAAGAUCGGGACGCCUGGAGGCCACAGCGGAACCUCCCGGGCCUCCUCCGCUGAGUCGCGCUGGAGGUCGCAGGGUCUUCUCAUCAAGCCUCCCUCCUCGGCGACCCUGCCACUGCGACCUCCACCCCCUCCGAAAAGCCAUCGAUCCCUCUCGACACCCGGCCGCCACCGUGGAACCCAGAGACGCGCGACAAGUUGAGAGGUGAGGACGGCCACACCCCAAGCAAAGGGGGCCCUGAGCGCCGAGCCUUUUCCCCUCUCCUUCUCUGUCUCGUUGUGAGUUCGAGGCUGGCCACCGCGCAAUGAAAGAUUCCAAACGGCCCGGGUUUGAUUGAACACGGAUCCGGGCGCUGUUGUCCGCGUCUACGCGGGGAACCGAGAGGCUGCAGCCUCCCCAUUCUUAUGGAAAUGCCACUAAACGGAUUGUGACUCGAGUUUGGGGGCCGCUGGGGGAUG